rnacentral:rRNA from 1 species
CCUACGGGUGGCAGCAGUAGGGAAUAUUGCUCAAUGGGGGAAACCCUGAAGCAGCAACACCGCGUGGAGGAUGAAGGUUUUCGGAUUGUAAACUCCUUUUGUUAGAGAAGAUAAUGACGGUAUCUAACGAAUAAGCACCGGCUAACUCCGUGCCAGCAGCCGCGGUAAUACGGAGGGUGGAAGCGUUACUCGGAAUCACUGGGCGGAAAGAGCGCGUAGGCGGGAUAGCAAGUCAGAUGUGAAAUCCUAUGGCUUAACCAUAGAACUGCAUUUGAAACUGUUAUUCUAGAGUAUGGGAGAGGUAGGUGGAAUGCUUGGUGUAGGGGUAAAAUCCGUAGAGAUCAAGAGGAAUACUCAUUGCGAAGGCGACCUGCUAGAACAUAACUGACGCUGAUGCGCGAAAGCGUGGGGAGCAAACAGGAUUAGAUACCCCUGUAGUC